GAUGAAGAACGCAGCGAAAUGCGAUAAGUAGUGUGAAUUGCAGAAUUCAGUGAAUCAUCGAAUCUUUGAACGCACAUUGCGCCCCUUGGUAUUCCAUGGGGCAUGUCUGUUCGAGCGUCAUUUGUACCUUCAAGCUCUGCUUGGUGUUGGGUGUUUGUCUCGCCUCUGCGUGUAGACUCGCCUCAAAACAAUUGGCAGCCGGCGUAUUGAUUUCGGAGCGCAGUACAUCUCGCGCUUUGCACUCAUAACGACGACGUCCAAAAGUACAUUUUUACACUCUUGACCUCGGAUCAGGUAGGGAUACCCGCUGAACUUAAGCAUAUCAAUAAGCGGAGGA
rnacentral:misc_RNA from 1 species